GGGUUGUGAGGUUAAGCGACUAAGCGUACACGGUGGAUGCCCUGGCAGUCAGAGGCGAUGAAGGACGUGCUAAUCUGCGAUAAGCGUCGGUAAGGUGAUAUGAACCGUUAUAACCGGCGAUUUCCGAAUGGGGAAACCCAGUGUGUUUCGACACACUAUCAUUAACUGAAUCCAUAGGUUAAUGAGGCGAACCGGGGGAACUGAAACAUCUAAGUACCCCGAGGAAAAGAAAUCAACCGAGAUUCCCCCAGUAGCGGCGAGCGAACGGGGAGCAGCCCAGAGCCUGAAUCAGUGUGUGUGUUAGUGGAAGCGUCUGGAAAGGCGCGCGAUACAGGGUGACAGCCCCGUACACAAAAAUGCACAUGCUGUGAGCUCGAUGAGUAGGGCGGGACACGUGGUAUCCUGUCUGAAUAUGGGGGGACCAUCCUCCAAGGCUAAAUACUCCUGACUGACCGAUAGUGAACCAGUACCGUGAGGGAAAGGCGAAAAGAACCCCGGCGAGGGGAGUGAAAAAGAACCUGAAACCGUGUACGUACAAGCAGUGGGAGCACGCUUAGGCGUGUGACUGCGUACCUUUUGUAUAAUGGGUCAGCGACUUAUAUUCUGUAGCAAGGUUAACCGAAUAGGGGAGCCGAAGGGAAACCGAGUCUUAACUGGGCGUUAAGUUGCAGGGUAUAGACCCGAAACCCGGUGAUCUAGCCAUGGGCAGGUUGAAGGUUGGGUAACACUAACUGGAGGACCGAACCGACUAAUGUUGAAAAAUUAGCGGAUGACUUGUGGCUGGGGGUGAAAGGCCAAUCAAACCGGGAGAUAGCUGGUUCUCCCCGAAAGCUAUUUAGGUAGCGCCUCGUGAAUUCAUCUCCGGGGGUAGAGCACUGUUUCGGCAAGGGGGUCAUCCCGACUUACCAACCCGAUGCAAACUGCGAAUACCGGAGAAUGUUAUCACGGGAGACACACGGCGGGUGCUAACGUCCGUCGUGAAGAGGGAAACAACCCAGACCGCCAGCUAAGGUCCCAAAGUCAUGGUUAAGUGGGAAACGAUGUGGGAAGGCCCAGACAGCCAGGAUGUUGGCUUAGAAGCAGCCAUCAUUUAAAGAAAGCGUAAUAGCUCACUGGUCGAGUCGGCCUGCGCGGAAGAUGUAACGGGGCUAAACCAUGCACCGAAGCUGCGGCAGCGACGCUUAUGCGUUGUUGGGUAGGGGAGCGUUCUGUAAGCCUGUGAAGGUGUGCUGUGAGGCAUGCUGGAGGUAUCAGAAGUGCGAAUGCUGACAUAAGUAACGAUAAAGCGGGUGAAAAGCCCGCUCGCCGGAAGACCAAGGGUUCCUGUCCAACGUUAAUCGGGGCAGGGUGAGUCGACCCCUAAGGCGAGGCCGAAAGGCGUAGUCGAUGGGAAACAGGUUAAUAUUCCUGUACUUGGUGUUACUGCGAAGGGGGGACGGAGAAGGCUAUGUUGACCGGGCGACGGUUGUCCCGGUUUAAGCGUGUAGGCUGGUUUUCCAGGCAAAUCCGGAAAAUCAAGGCUGAGGCGUGAUGACGAGGCACUACGGUGCUGAAGCAACAAAUGCCCUGCUUCCAGGAAAAGCCUCUAAGCAUCAGGUAACAUCAAAUCGUACCCCAAACCGACACAGGUGGUCAGGUAGAGAAUACCAAGGCGCUUGAGAGAACUCGGGUGAAGGAACUAGGCAAAAUGGUGCCGUAACUUCGGGAGAAGGCACGCUGAUAUGUAGGUGAAGCGACUUGCUCGUGGAGCUGAAAUCAGUCGAAGAUACCAGCUGGCUGCAACUGUUUAUUAAAAACACAGCACUGUGCAAACACGAAAGUGGACGUAUACGGUGUGACGCCUGCCCGGUGCCGGAAGGUUAAUUGAUGGGGUCAGCGCAAGCGAAGCUCUUGAUCGAAGCCCCGGUAAACGGCGGCCGUAACUAUAACGGUCCUAAGGUAGCGAAAUUCCUUGUCGGGUAAGUUCCGACCUGCACGAAUGGCGUAAUGAUGGCCAGGCUGUCUCCACCCGAGACUCAGUGAAAUUGAACUCGCUGUGAAGAUGCAGUGUACCCGCGGCAAGACGGAAAGACCCCGUGAACCUUUACUAUAGCUUGACACUGAACAUUGAGCCUUGAUGUGUAGGAUAGGUGGGAGGCUUAGAAGUGUGGACGCCAGUCUGCAUGGAGCCGACCUUGAAAUACCACCCUUUAAUGUUUGAUGUUCUAACGUUGACCCGUAAUCCGGGUUGCGGACAGUGUCUGGUGGGUAGUUUGACUGGGGCGGUCUCCUCCUAAAGAGUAACGGAGGAGCACGAAGGUUGGCUAAUCCUGGUCGGACAUCAGGAGGUUAGUGCAAUGGCAUAAGCCAGCUUGACUGCGAGCGUGACGGCGCGAGCAGGUGCGAAAGCAGGUCAUAGUGAUCCGGUGGUUCUGAAUGGAAGGGCCAUCGCUCAACGGAUAAAAGGUACUCCGGGGAUAACAGGCUGAUACCGCCCAAGAGUUCAUAUCGACGGCGGUGUUUGGCACCUCGAUGUCGGCUCAUCACAUCCUGGGGCUGAAGUAGGUCCCAAGGGUAUGGCUGUUCGCCAUUUAAAGUGGUACGCGAGCUGGGUUUAGAACGUCGUGAGACAGUUCGGUCCCUAUCUGCCGUGGGCGCUGGAGAACUGAGGGGGGCUGCUCCUAGUACGAGAGGACCGGAGUGGACGCAUCACUGGUGUUCGGGUUGUCAUGCCAAUGGCACUGCCCGGUAGCUAAAUGCGGAAGAGAUAAGUGCUGAAAGCAUCUAAGCACGAAACUUGCCCCGAGAUGAGUUCUCCCUGAC
rnacentral:rRNA from 1 species